AAUUAGGGUACUUUAUUAGAUAAAAGGGAUCAUGAGCCAAGGAAUUGGACUUAAUCUAUUUUGUUAAAUUAUCGUAACUAUUAGAGUUUGCUUGUUGAGAAUUAGAACCUAGAGUACCAAAUAGGGAUACAGAGAGGAUUCGAAACAAUCCUUAAUCGCUUCGCUCCAUUAAAAAGUCUUCGUCAAUUUAUUGCAAUUUUUAUUUUAAUUGUCUUAUAAACCAAAUAUAUGCCAUGCAUACCCCCUUAUAUUUACGACCUAAAUACGAUUCAAUUGUUUUGUCGAGAUUGAAACAAUCCCUGCG
rnacentral:lncRNA from 1 species